AGUGAACGCUGGCGGUAGGCCUAACACAUGCAAGUCGAACGGCAGCACAGUAAGAGCUUGCUCUUACGGGUGGCGAGUGGCGGACGGGUGAGGAAUACAUCGGAAUCUACUUUUUCGUGGGGGAUAACGUAGGGAAACUUACGCUAAUACCGCAUACGACCUACGGGUUAAAUCAGUGGAUCUUCGGACCUUGCGCGAUUGAAUGAGCCGAUGUCGGAUUAGCUAGUUGGCGGGGUAAAGGCCCACCAAGGCGACGAUGCGUAGCUGGUCUGAGAGGAUGAUCAGCCACACUGGAACUGAGACACGGUCCAGACUCCUACGGGAGGCAGCAGUGGGGAAUAUUGGACAAUGGGCGCAAGCCUGAUCCAGCCAUACCGCGUGGGUGAAGAAGGCCUUCGGGUUGUAAAGCCCUUUUGUUGGGAAAGAAAAGCAGCAGGUUAAUACCCCGCUGUUCUGACGGUACCCAAAGAAUAAGCACCGGCUAACUUCGUG
rnacentral:rRNA from 1 species